CCAAUGAGAGACUUUGGGGAGGCCUGACGGUCUCACCCAAUGGCUUGGGGUUCUGCCGGCUGUGAGGGGUGGCGAUUAACUCACUUUAAGCAAUCAACUCUAAAGACAGCUCGAUUGGCUAGCAUUGCUGGCUGUAGACUGAACAAAUACAGACAACUCUCAACAACGGAUAUCUUGGCUCCCGUAACGAUGAAGAACGCAGCGAAAUGCGAUACGUAGUGUGAAUUGCAGAAUUCCGUGAACCAUCGAAUCUUUGAACGCAAAUUGCGCUCGAGGCUUCGGCCAAGAGCAUGUCUGCCUCAGCGUCGGCUACUACCCUCAACUAAGUUUCCUAUGAAAGACUAGGGGAUGCCAGUUGGAUAUGGCAGUCCGGUUUGCCUUUCAGGUUGCCGGUCAGCUGAAAUAUAUUCACGCUCUGGGGGCUGCUUUCCUUGAUAGGCUACUUUCAAGGGGAGGCGAGUUCCGAUUUGGUAGGUGACCUUUGCCGGUUACAUGCCUUCGUUGCUCGCUAAGCGUCCCAGUAGUCGUUGUGCAGGACGCCUUUUGGCUUUCGACCUGAGGUCAGGCAAGAACACCCGCUGAACUUAAGCAUAUCAAUAAGCGGAGGAAAAGAA
rnacentral:rRNA from 1 species